rnacentral:rRNA from 1 species
UACAGAGGUCUCAAGCGUUGUUCGGAUUCAUUGGGCGUAAAGGGUGCGUAGGCGGCGCGGUAAGUCGGGUGUGAAAUCUUGGAGCUUAACUCCGAAACUGCAUUCGAUACUGCCGUGCUUGAGGACUGGAGAGGAGACUGGAAUUUACGGUGUAGCAGUGAAAUGCGUAGAGAUCGUAAGGAAGACCAGUGGCGAAGGCGGGUCUCUGGGACGGUACUGACGCUGAGACGCGAAAGCGUGGGGAGCAAACAGG